ensembl:lncRNA novel transcript
CCUGAUCAUAAGUCAUGCUAGGGCAAGGACUGCCCUCCUGGGAAAUUUGAAGACCUUCUGGCCAAUGAAUGAGGUGUAAUUUCUCAGAAUAAUUUUACUCUCUGAUGAAAGGAGGGAAUAAGGUAACGAGAUGUUCCCUCCCUCCCUUCUCACAUUGGACCUUGUGUGAGGACGGGACACUGGAGCUGCUGUGGCCACCUGGACCAAGAGAAUCAAGGAGGAGCUGACCCAAACCCUGAUGCUGCAAAGCCAUUGGCCAGCGCUGGCAUUGUCCGCCUCUGGAGUCCUUGUUACAAGAGAAUUAUAAACUCCUGUUGUUGAGACUUUGAGACCCCAUGGCGGAGACGGAGGGUCCUUCCACUGCAGCACAAAGUGGGGCACUUGCAGUCACAUCGCCUGUGUUCACGGUGGAGCGGAUCUACUGCCCUUGUAGGGCUGAUGCAUUGCAAGGGGCUGAACCUCCUGCACUGUCUCCUCUUGGUGUAAAUAAACACUGUGCCACCUGA